CUGUAUGUUAACUGUAUUGGAAUUAAAAUGAAAAAAAAAAAACAAAAUUAACUCCGAAGAAAAAAGACUAAAUUGACAAAAUUUGUAGAGACCCUCCAAAUCUUUUGGCUAAAAGCACUGAUGUUGGUUUUUCUAACUCAAAUCUACUCCCUUUGACUUUUAUCCUUUGAGAUAAUCACAGGGCAUCCAAUGCACUUGGCCUCUGCCACCUUUGACUCACAGCUGAUAAAAGGAAACAUACUUCAAUAUUGUAAAGGCCUAGUUGCUUCUAUUAAAAACAAUUAUGCUUUGGUAGGACAAUCUUUUCACCAUGCACUCCAGGAAGAUGAAGAUCUUAAGCAUCAUACCUUGCAACCUGGAGAUUUUGUCUAUUGGAAAAGACACUUCUAGAAAAACUCUCUUCAGCCUCAUUGGAAGGGCCCUUAUCAGGUACUACUAAACAACCUUUAUAUUGCCAAAGUCCAGGGAAUAUACUCGUUUAUUCAUGUGACUCAUCUAAAGAAAGCACCAAACCCUGGCUGGACCUGCAAAACCAUCUGGUGACUAAGAUUUCCUGGAAUUGAAGCAGAUGACAUUUGAUGAGACAGCUUUCUCGAGAUGCCUGGACCAGAAGUUGACUGACCACCAGCAAGACUAGCUGAGACUGGAGCAAACCAGGAAGAAUUCUUGCAGUUGCACAAAAUGGACCAAGACAAAGAUCAAGAACAGGAGAAAAAGUAACAGUGCAAGAUGGAACAAGUGACCUUGCUUGCUACUGCUCUCACGCAGGAUAGACAAAGAAAAGGUAACGAAGCUAAGGGUAUUGACUACAAAUACACCAAAGAAGGCUGGAUUUACAACAGACAAGGAAUUGUGCUGAGCCCCAAACACCUUAUAGAAUAAAUAAUUUAUUUUUUUUUUAACAUUUAUUUAUGUAUAAAAGAGCGUGAGUUGGUCAGGGACA